ACAUACGACCAUAGAUGGUAGAAAACUCGGGAUCCCGUCCGCUCUCCCAUAGAUAAGCUACCAAUCGGAAGCAUGUCUAUGGGAGGAGGUUUUUACAGGGGUUUGGAUGACUCAGCUAAAAACGCCGCCGCCGUUUCUU
rfam:Neurospora tetrasperma FGSC 2509 unplaced genomic scaffold NETTE2scaffold_2, whole genome shotgun sequence.